rnacentral:rRNA from 1 species
GGGUAGCCGGCCUGAGAGGGCGACCGGCCACACUGGGACUGAGACACGGCCCAGACUCCUACGGGAGGCAGCAGUGGGGAAUAUUGCGCAAUGGGNGAAASYCUGACNCAGCRACGCCGCGUGNGGGAUGANGGCCUUCGGGUUGUAAACCNCUNUCANNAGGGAAGAAGCGAAAGUGACGGUACCUGCAGAAGAAGCACCGGCUAACUACGUGCCAGCAGCCGCGGUAAUACGUAGGGUGCAAGCGUUGUCCGGAUUUAUUGGGCGUAAAGAGCUCGUAGGCGGUUAGUCACGUCGGAUGUGAAAACUCRRAGCUUAACUCUGAGCCUGCAUUCGAUACGGGCUGACUAGAGUGUNGUAGGGGAG